GCCUCUGUAGCUCAGUUGGUUAGAGCGCUGCUCCGGAAUCGCAGGGCCGUAGGAUCGAUUCCUACCAGAGGAC